rnacentral:rRNA from 1 species
GAUGAACGCUGGCGGCGUGCCUAAUACAUGCAAGUCGAGCGAACAGACGAGGAGCUUGCUCCUCUGACGUUAGCGGCGGACGGGUGAGUAACACGUGGAUAACCUACCUAUAAGACUGGGAUAACUUCGGGAAACCGGAGCUAAUACCGGAUAAUAUAUUGAACCGCAUGGUUCAAUAGUGAAAGACGGUUUUGCUGUCACUUAUAGAUGGAUCCGCGCCGCAUUAGCUAGUUGGUAAGGUAACGGCUUACCAAGGCAACGAUGCGUAGCCGACCUGAGAGGGUGAUCGGCCACACUGGAACUGAGACACGGUCCAGACUCCUACGGGAGGCAGCAGUAGGGAAUCUUCCGCAAUGGGCGAAAGCCUGACGGAGCAACGCCGCGUGAGUGAUGAAGGUCUUCGGAUCGUAGAACUCUGUUAUUAGGGAAGAACAAAUGUGUAAGUAACUAUGCACGUCCUGACGGUACCUAAUCAGAAAGCCACGGCUAACUACGUG